rnacentral:misc_RNA from 1 species
GGCCAGUAUGGCUGGGUCUGUGGUUGUGAAUUUUGCCUGAGAGCGUGUUAAUGCUAUUGAUUGUUUGCGGGCUACAAUUUGUGACGGAGUGCAACGGCAAUGCCUUUGGUUGGGAUGGUGCCUUCUUGGUUUUGGUUGGUGUAAUUACAGACGGUUCCCUUAUUAGUUCCACUGGGCGUUCUUCUGCAGGAGGUUUGAUUAGGAAUAAUGUUAGGAGCUUGUGUGGGAGGCUUCACCUCCAAUCUGGGUAUCUGCUUGAUUAUGGAUGCUGAGCUUUGGGGAGUUCUUCUUGGGUUUUCAAGUGUCUGGGGAGAAGGGUGUUAGAUGUUUGAUUGUGGAAACUGACAACUCAGUGGUGCCUCUUUUGAGCAGUGAUGUUCACAGCAGCCCUCAUUCAAGUCUCCUUGGCAGUAUUAAGGAGCUGAUCAACAAGGAUUGGACUGUUCUUGUGAAGCACAUCUACAAGGUAUAUGAUUCCAACCUAAACUCCUCACUUUGCAGUUGCUGCCAUUAUCAUGUGCUGCAACCACAAUGGUUCAAUCUAAAGAUGUACAAUGCAGAAAAAUGACUUAACGGAAGGUUGAAAUCCCAUUUUGUAUGCAAAACUUACAUAAACACCAAAUCGAAGUACCCCCCAUUUAAGAAUCUGUGCUUUUCAAAAGAAUUUGAACUUCCUUGUUAUAAAAUUGCAAGAAACAGAGUCAAUUUGUACAUAUUUGGGAAUGAGAAAAGAAGAAAGAAUGGUUGUAGUGUUUACUUUCAAUAAUUCUGUAUAUAAUCUAAGAAUGGAUCCAGGAUUUUCUAUCUUCUUCUAAAUUACGUUAAAUUUGGGCUCAAAUUCAAUACAAACGUAACCCAUUACCAAAUUAGGGAGGAAAUGAUUGUUUUCA